rnacentral:miRNA from 14 species
CCUAUUCUUGAUUACUUGCAUU